CUUAGAGUUGUUUGUGGUUCUCUGUGUAGCUGUCCCCCCUGUGACGUCAGGGGCAGUGAUCAUGCGCCUUUGUUCCCAGAGCACACUACACCGUCGACCUGUGCAGUCUUCCCUGCCCUGGACACCCACUUACAAGUUCUAGAGCUGAUGCUUUCUUAAUCUUUCCAGAAGGUGGCACAUCUGUGGAGACUGCACCCCUUGUUCCCCGACCCUGGAGGAGAUUGAUGAGGACACCUGCUUUCUUCCUGUUCGGCACAGAGAGAGAGGCACAAGGGUUGUGGGCUCAGCAGCGAGCAUCUGAAUCUCAUGGAGACAUUUCAGCAAGAGAAUAGGCCAGUUACUUGGUAGCCUGUUUUGCAGUUUGACACUGUCUGAUGGGCCCUCAUCAGUCGAUUCUGGUUACGCAUCUUCGGCGGGAGUGCCACGGAAGUGAUGCUGUAUCCUUCUCAGCUUGUAAUUUCCGAAGGGACGUGCUGUU